rnacentral:rRNA from 1 species
AGUUUGAUCCUGGCUCAGAAUGAACGCUGGCGGCGUGCCUCAGGCAUGCAAGUCGUACGAGAAAGUUCCUUCGGGGAUGAGUAAAGUGGCGCACGGGUGAGUAACACCUAGGUAACAUACCUUUUUCGCUGGGGAUAGCUAGGGGAAACUUUAGAUAAUACCGAAUAUUCCUGCUUUUUACUGCGGUUUUUAGCAGGGAAAGUCGCAAGACGCGAAGAGAGUGGCUUGGGUCUCAUUAGCUUGUUGGUGGGGUAAUGGCCUACCAAGGCGACGAUGGGUAGCUGGUCUGAGAGGGCGAUCAGCCACACUGGAACUGGAACACGGUCCAGACUCCUACGGGAGGCAGCAGUCGGGAAUUUUACACAAUGGGGGAAACCCUGAUGUAGCAACGCCGCGUGAGUGAUGAAGGUCUUCGGAUCGUAAAGCUCUUUUAAUAGGAAAGAAAAAAUGACGGUACCUAUAGAAAAAGCACCGGCUAACUCCGUGCCAGCAGCGGC